GGAUUAGAUACCCUGGUAGUCCACGCCGUAAACGAUGUCGACUUGGAGGUUGUGCCCUUGAGGCGUGGCUUCCGGAGCUAACGCGUUAAGUCGACCGCCUGGGGAGUACGGCCGCAAGGUUAAAACUCAAAUGAAUUGACGGGGGCCCGCACAAGCGGUGGAGCAUGUGGUUUAAUUCGAUGCAACGCGAAGAACCUUACCUGGCCUUGACAUCCACGGAAUUCGGCAGAGAUGCCUUAGUGCCUUCGGGAACCGUGAGACAGGUGCUGCAUGGCUGUCGUCAGCUCGUGCCG
rnacentral:rRNA from 1 species